CUCGUCUUGUAUAUUUUCUGCUAAACCUUCGGCAAAGGCAGCUACUAAACCGCUAUUGGUCCAGUGAACCUCAGUCGCCAAUGUCCUGAACUCUAUGGCGUAAUCAGCUACAGAGCGGUUGCCUUGUUUUAUUUUCAUUUGAGCUCUGGCAGCGUUCUUUGCUCUUCCUUUUAGUUCAAAAGUAGCUUUAAAUGCUGAUAGGAAUACAUUGUAAUCACGGGCAACAGGACUUUCACUCUCCCAUAAGGGAUUGGCCCAGGUUAAAGCCUUACCCGUUAAUUGGUUCAUUAGAUAGCCAAUUUUCGAU